rnacentral:rRNA from 1 species
UGAGGAAUUUUCCGCAAUGGACGCAAGUCUGACGGAGCAACGCCGCGUGCAGGACGAAGGUCUUCGGAUCGUAAACUGCUUUUCCCAGGGACGAGCAAGGACGGUACCUGGGGAACAAGCCCCGGCUAACUACGUGCCAGCAGCCGCGGUAAUACGUAGGGGGCGAGCGUUGUCCGGAUUUAUUGGGCGUAAAGCGCCCGCAGGCGGUCGCGUCAGUUUGGGGUGACAGCUCCUGGCUUAACCGGGAGAGGACCUCGAAGACGGCGUGACUUGAGGGCCAGAGAGGGACAUGGAACUCCGGGUGGAGUGGUGAAAUGCGUAGAGAUCCGGAAGAACACCAAAGGCGAAGGCAGUGUCCUGGCUGGCACCUGACGCUCAGGGGCGAAAGCGAGGGGAGCGAACGGGAUUAGAUACCCCCGUAGUCC